rnacentral:misc_RNA from 1 species
GUGAUUGCCCUAGUGGCUUAAACUAUAUCCAUAUACACCUGUGAACCGUUUGAUUGACACUCUGUGUCGAUUUUACAAACAAUGUGUAAUGAACGUCUAGUUAUUAUAACAAAAAA